AAUAAAAUAAUUAUGUUUUUGGUAGUUUAUUAUAAAUUUGUUUUACAUAUAAAUUUUAGUAUAUAAUUUUAAUUAUUUUAAUAAUAAUUAAUUAAAUUUGGUAGUAAUUAAUAUUAAAAAUUUAAGAAAUUAAGAUUUAGUAAUAUUAAAAUUAAUAACUAAUUUUGUGCCAGCAGUUGCGGUUAAACAAAAAUUAAAUUAAAUUAUUUCAGUUUAUAAUAAAUAAUUAAUUAUUAAAAUAAAUAUUAAAUUAUUAAGUGAAAUUUUAAUUUAAUUUAAUUUUAUUAUUAAAUUAUGAUUUAAUAAAUUUUAAUAUAAACUAGGAUUAGAUACCCUAUUAUUAAAAAUUUAAUUUAUAAUACUAAAAUAGUAAAUAAUAAUUUAUUGAAACUUAAAUAAUAUGGCGGUAUUUUAGUUCAUUUAGAGGAAUCUGUCUAAUAAUUGAUAAUCCACGAAUAAAUUUACUUAAUUUAUAAUUUUGUAUAUCGUUGUUAAAAAAAUAUUUUUUAGUAAUAAUAAUAUUUUAAAUUUAAAAAUAAAAAUUAAUUCAGAUCAAGAUGCAGAAUAUAAUUAAGAAUAUGAUGGAUUACAUUAAAUAUAUUUAAAUGAAUAAUUUAUUGUAAUAUAAAUUUGAAGGUGGAUUUAAAUGUAAUUUUAAUUAAUUUAUUAAAAUGAUUAUAAAUUAAAAUAUGUACCUAUUGCCCGUCGCUUUCAUAUAUAAAUUGAAAUAAGUCGUAACAAAGUAGAAGUACUGGAAAGUGUUUCUAGAAAGAA
rnacentral:ncRNA from 1 species